rnacentral:SRP_RNA from 1 species
GCGCGCUAAUGCGAUCAUCGGUGGAAAUCUACAUUAAAGCGCGAAUGUAGAAUGUCCAAUGAUCAAUGGACAUUGAACAUUGAUCAUUGAGAGUUGAUAUUUCGUCUGCCCCAGGUCCGCAGGCUUUCCGCUCGUGAACCGCGUCAGGCCCCCGCAGGGAGCAGCGCUAAGCGAUGCCGGGAUUCGUUGCGGGGUGCCUGGGGCAUUUCACUUCCAAUAAUCAAUGUCCAAUGUUCAAUGAUCAGUGUUC